rnacentral:rRNA from 1 species
AGAGUUUGAUCAUGGCUCAGGACGUAACGCUGGCGGCGUGCCUAAUACAUGCAAGUCGAGCGGACUUUAAAAGCUUGCUUUUAAAGUUAGCGGCGGACGGGUGAGUAACACGUGGGCAACCUGCCUGUAAGACUGGGAUAACUUCGGGAAACCGGAGCUAAUACCGGAUAAUCCUUUUCCUCUCAUGAGGCAAAGCUGAAAGACGGUUUACGCUGUCACUUACAGAUGGGCCCGCGGCGCAUUAGCUAGUUGGUGAGGUAACGGCUCACCCCNGGCGAUCGAUGCGUAGCCGACCUGAGAGGGUGAUCGGCCACACUGGGACGUGAGACACGGCCCAGACUCCUACGGGAGGCAGCAGUAGGGAAUCUUCCGCAAUGGACGAGAAGUCUGACGGAGCAACGCCGCGUGAGUGAUGAAGGUUUUCGGAUCGUANAAACUCUGUUGUUAGGGCAAGACAC